GGUGACCUCAGUCAGUAGAG
rnacentral:rRNA from 1 species